rnacentral:rRNA from 1 species
GACGAACGCUGGCGGCGUGCCUAAUACAUGCAAGUCGAACGAGAGCGACCGGUGCUUGCACUGGUCAAUCUAGUGGCGAACGGGUGAGUAACACGUGGGUAACCUGCCCAUCAGAGGGGGAUAACAUCCGGAAACGGAUGCUAAAACCGCAUAGGUCUUCGAACCGCAUGGUUUGAAGAGGAAAAGAGGCGCAAGCUUCUGCUGAUGGAUGGACCCGCGGUGCAUUAGCUAGUUGGUGAGGUAACGGCUCACCAAGGCCGUGAUGCAUAGCCGACCUGAGAGGGUGAUCGGCCACAUUGGGACUGAGAAACGGCCCAAACUCCUACGGGAGGCAGCAGUAGGGAAUCUUCCGCAAUGGACGCAAGUCUGACGGAGCAACGCCGCGUGAGUGAAGAAGGUUUUCGGAUCGUAAAACUCUGUUGUUAGAGAAGAACAAGUGCUAGAGUAACUGUUAGCGCCUUGACGGUAUCUAACCAGAAAGCCACGGCUAACUACGUG